rnacentral:rRNA from 1 species
CGGACGGGUGAGUAACGCGUGGAUAACCUGCCGUAUACUGGGGGAUAACACUUAGAAAUAGGUGCUAAUACCGCAUAAGCGCACAGUCUCGCAUGAGACGGUGUGAAAAACUCCGGUGGUAUACGAUGGAUCCGCGUCUGAUUAGCUUGUUGGCGGGGUAACAGCCCACCAAGGCGACGAUCAGUAGCCGGCCUGAGAGGGUGAACGGCCACAUUGGGACUGAGGCACGGCCCAAACUCCUACGGAAGGCAGCAG